rnacentral:rRNA from 1 species
UACGUAGGGUGCGAGCGUUGUCCGGAAUUACUGGGCGUAAAGAGCUCGUAGGUGGUUUGUCGCGUUGUUCGUGAAAACCGGGGGCUUAACCCUCGGCGUGCGGGCGAUACGGGCAGACUUGAGUACUGCAGGGGAGACUGGAAUUCCUGGUGUAGCGGUGGAAUGCGCAGAUAUCAGGAGGAACACCGGUGGCGAAGGCGGGUCUCUGGGCAGUAGCUGACACUGAGGCGCGACAGCGUGGGGAGCAAACAGG